rnacentral:rRNA from 1 species
GACGAACCGUGCGAACGUUAUUCGGAAUCAUUGGGCUUAAAGGGCGCGUAGGCGGCGGCGUAAGUUGGAAGUGAAAUCCCAUCGGCUCAACCGUGGAAUUGCUCCCAGUACUGCGUCGCUCGAGGGGGAUAGGGGUCUGCGGAACUACCGGUGGAGCGGUGAAAUGUGUUGAUAUCGGUGGGAACGCCAGUGGCGAAAGCGGCAGACUGGACCCUUCCUGACGCUCAUGCACGAAAGCGUGGGGAGCAAACAGG